rnacentral:rRNA from 1 species
ACGGGAGGCAGCAGUGAGGAAUAUUGGUCAAUGGUCGGAAGACUGAACCAGCCAUGCCGCGUGAAGGCAGACGGUCCUAUGGAUUGUAAACUUCUUUUGUACGGGAGCAAUAAGGUCUACGAGUAGGCCGAUGAGAGUACCGUACGAAUAAGCAUCGGCUAACUCCGUGCCAGCAGCCGCGGUAAUACGGAGGAUGCGAGCGUUAUCCGGAUUUAUUGGGUUUAAAGGGUGCGCAGGCGGCACGUUAAGUCAGCGGUGAAAUGCAGGGGCUCAACCCCGGCACUGCCGUUGAAACUGGCGAGCUCGAGUACGGAUGAAGUCGGCGGAAUGUGAUGUGUAGCGGUGAAAUGCUUAGAUAUGUCACAGAACACCGAUUGCGAAGGCAGCUGACUAAUCCGCAACUGACGCUCAGGCACGAAAGCGUGGGGAUCGAACAGGAUUAGAUACCCUGGUA